UGGGGAAUAUUGGACAAUGGGCGCAAGCCUGAUCCAGCCAUGCCGCGUGCAGGAAGAAGCAUCUAUGGUGUGUAAACUGCUUUUGUACGGGAAGAAACACUCCUACGUGUAGGAGCUUGACGGUACCGUAAGAAUAAGGAUCGGCAACUCCGUGCCAGCAGCCGCGGUAAUACGGAGGAUCCAAGCGUUAUCCGGAAUCAUUGGGUUUAAAGGGUCCGUAGGCGGUUUAAUAAGUCAGUGGUGAAAGCCCAUCGCUCAACGAUGGAACGGCCAUUGAUACUGUUAGACUUGAAUUACAAGGAAGUAACUAGAAUAUGUAGUGUAGCGGUGAGAUGCUUAGAUAUUACAUGGAAUACCAAUUGCGAAGGCAGGUUACUACUUGUGGAUUGACGCUGAUGGACGAAAGCGUGGGGAGCGAACA
rnacentral:rRNA from 1 species